GAUGAAGAACGUAGUGAAAUGCGAUAAGUAAUGUGAAUUGCAGAAUUCAGUGAAUCAUCGAAUCUUUGAACGCACCUUGCACCCUUUGGACUGCUCCAAAGGGUAUGCUCGUUUGAGUGUCAUUGUACUCUCACACUCUCUGAUCCUUUGGAUUUGGGGAGCAGUGGACUUGGGUGCUUGCUGCUUCCUUGUGGCUCACCUGAAAUGCAUCAGUACAUCUCUCGAUUGGACAUAGUACGGCGUGAUAAGUGUCUUCGCCGGCACCUCAUAUGAGGGUGGCCGAUCGGGAGCUCUGUGCUUUCAAACCGUCUUCGGACAACGCUGACAACUUGACCUCAAAUCGAGUAGGACUACCCGCUGAACUUAAGCAUAUCAAUAAGCGGAGGA
rnacentral:misc_RNA from 1 species